rnacentral:rRNA from 1 species
AUGGCUGACAAAUCAACUACCAUACCUAUCGGUAUUUGUGAGGAUGCGCCUGUUGUUGUUGUUGCUAAUGUUAGUAUUUUGACUGACUUUGUUAUACUUGAGAUGCCCGAGGACGACAACAUGUCGAUUAUCCUUGGUAGACCUUUCUUGAAUACUGCAGGGGCUGUUAUUGAUUGCAAUAAAAGUAAGGUCACUUUUCAUAUCAAUGGUAAUGAGCAUAUGGUGCACUUUAUGAAGAAACAAUUCCUAGUGAAUGGUAUUAAUGUUAUUGAAAAAUCCCCGACAAUCACUAUUGGAAGUUUUCAAAUAGCUCUACCUACUGUCAAAAAGAAAUAUGAAAUGCUUAUUGUUGGGUACAUUCAUAUCCCCAUUGAGGUAAUCUAG